rnacentral:rRNA from 1 species
GUUAAAAAGCUCGUAGUUGGAUCUCGGCGGGCAGGGGGUGGUUCGCUCUUCAGCGCUACUGCCCCGCUUUGCCCGUGUGAUUGGCGGAGGUUUCGGGGUGCUCUUCGUUGAGUGACUCGGAGCGCCGUCAGGUUUACUUUGAAAAAAUUAGAGUGCUCAAAGCAGGCUUUUCACGCUUGAAUAUUCGUGCAUGGAAUAAUGGAAUAGGAACUCGUUUCUAUUUUGUUGGUUUUCGGAAAUCGAGUUAAUGAUUAACAGGGACAAUUGGGGGCAUUAGUAUUCAGACGACAGAGGUGAAAUUCUUGGACCGUCUGAAGACUGACUACUGCGAAAGCAUUUGCCAAGAGUGUUUUCAUUAAUCAAGAACGAAAGUUAGAGGUUCGAAGGCGAUCAGAUACCGCCCUAGUUCUAACCAUAAACGAUGCCAGCUAGCGAUCUGCCGAGUUUUUUUUGUAGGCUCCGCAGGAAGCUUUCGGGAAACCAAAGCUUUUGGGUUCCGGGGGAGGUAUGGUUGCAAAGCUGAAACUUAAAGGAAUUGACGGAAGGGCACCACCAGGAGUGGAGCCUGCGGCUUAAUUUGACUCAACACGGGAAAUCUCACCAGGCCCGGACACUGGAAGGAUUGACAGAUUGAGAGCUCUUUCUCGAUUCGGUGGGUU